rnacentral:sRNA from 1 species
AUUCCAUUUAAUCAAGCUUUAGUCUUUUCUAAUUUGCACAGCAGAGCACAACAUUUGGCUGAUAUCCUUUCUUCUAAAGGCUUUCCUGCUGAGUGCAUUUCAGGCAAUAUGAAUCAGAAUCAGCGUCUUGAUGCUAUGGCUAAACUGAAGCAGUUUCAUUGCAGAGUCCUCAUUUCCACAGAUUUGGUAAAUUUCCUAUUCAGUUUGGGUGACUAAUCCAUCUUGACAUAUGUUCUAUUAUCAGAUGUACAGAUUUCAUAUAUUAUUUUAUGUAGGUGUAUCUAACAAGAAUACCAGAAGAUAAUUAUCUUUCCAGUGCUGAGGAAAAUACUUUCUU